GACGAACGCUGGCGGCGUGCUUAACACAUGCAAGUCGAGCGGAAAGGCCUGCUUUCCCUUGUGGAUUGCGGGUACUCGAGUGGCGAACGGGUGAGUAACACGUGAGUGAUCUGCCCCCAACUUGGGUAUAAGCCUGGGAAACUGGGUCUAAUUCCCGAUAGGACUGCAGGGUGGUGCCUGUGGUGGAAAACGAUUUUCUAGUGGUUGGGGAUGAGCUCGCGGCCUAUCAGCUUGUUGGUGGGGUAAUGGCCUACCAAGGCGGCGACGGGUAGCCGGCCGGGGAGGGUGGACGGCCACAUUGGGACUGAGAUACGGCCCAGACUCCUACGGGAGGCAGCAGUGGGGAAUAUUGCACAAUGGGCGGAAGCCUGAUGCAGCGACGCCGCGUGGGGGAUGACGGCCUUCGGGUUGUAAACUCCUUUCGACCGCGAGGAAGCCACCUAGUUGGAAGGGUGGUGACGGUAGUGGUAGAAGAAGCACCGGCUAACUACGUG
rnacentral:rRNA from 1 species